UCCCUGGUGGCUCAGUGGUAGAGGAUCUGCCUCUGGAGACACAGGAGACACAGGUUCCAUCCCUGGUCAGGGAA
rnacentral:tRNA from 1 species